GACGAACGCUGGCGGCGUGCUUAACACAUGCAAGUCGAACGGUGAAGCGAGUGCUUGCACUCGUGGAUCAGUGGCGAACGGGUGAGUAACACGUGAGUAACCUGCCCAUCACUCUGGGAUAAGCACUGGAAACGGUGUCUAAUACUGGAUACGACCAACCCUUGCAUGGGGUGUUGGUGGAAAGAUUUAUCGGUGAUGGAUGGACUCGCGGCCUAUCAGCUUGUUGGCGGGGUAAUGGCACACCAAGGCGACGACGGGUAGCCGGCCUGAGAGGGUGACCGGCCACACUGGGACUGAGACACGGCCCAGACUCCUACGGGAGGCAGCAGUGGGGAAUAUUGCACAAUGGGCGAAAGCCUGAUGCAGCGACGCCGCGUGAGGGAUGACGGCCUUCGGGUUGUAAACCUCUUUCAGCAGGGAAGAAGCGAAAGUGACGGUACCUGCAGAAGAAGCACCGGCUAACUACGUG
rnacentral:rRNA from 1 species